UAUAGACAGGAAACAAUCACAAAACUGUUUGAUCUCUCAAGUUCACUGAAUGACAAGGAGCAACUGAAACUAUUCAAGGAAACCCUGCAGAAAGCAAUACAAGAAGAACAAAGGCUAAAGGCAAAAUAUAUGUACAGAAUAGCAACAUCAGGUUUUGAGGAAAUGUAUGACCAAAGCACUCGUCAGCUGGAAAUGGUGAAGAGAUUAUCGCCCGAUAGCCCAUUCGUUAACAUCUGUUCGCACAUGUUGAAGAAUGUGAGAACUUUCAUAUACAAGAAGAUGAGUUUGCUGCAAAAAUAGAGAACUCAGAAAAGAAACUGGGUGCGAUGAGGAGCUUGU